rnacentral:misc_RNA from 1 species
CAGAGUUGCAAAACUCCCAACCAUUGUGAACGAACCGCUAAGCUCCAGCGGGCGGCGCACUGCGCCGCUUGCUGGUAGCCUGCAAACUCUUGAUUAUAGUGUAUCUCUGAGUAGCUUAUUAAAUAAGUCA